CCAAUUCCAUUGCCUUCCACUCUUUUUCAACGCAGCCGCACCCACAUCUCAUCCUAAAUGACCGCCGCAGCCUCUGAAACUAGUCUCAACACGCCCAGAUCUGCCGACGCCGCAGAUCCCCUUCCCCCAGCCCAAGGUCGGAGGCGAGUCGGCGGGGGUCGGCAGAGGUCCACAGCCUGCGAGACCCUCCCAGGCUCAUGGCCCUAGACUCGGCAGCCGACACGCAUCUCUCGGGACAACUGGCACAAGCGCCGCAAAACCGGGGGCAAGAGAAAGCCCUACCACAAGAAGCGGAAGUAUGAGUUGGGGCGCCCAGCUGCCAACACCAAGAUUGGCCCCCGCCGCAUCCACACAGUCCGUGUGCGGGGAGGUAACAAGAAAUACCGUGCCCUGAGGUUGGACGUGGGGAAUUUCUCCUGGGGCUCAGAGUGUUGUACUCGUAAAACAAGGAUCAUCGAUGUUGUCUACAAUGCAUCUAAUAACGAACUGGUUCGUACCAAGACCCUGGUGAAGAAUUGCAUCGUGCUCAUCGACAGCACACCGUACCGACAGUGGUACGAGUCCCACUAUGCACUGCCCCUGGGCCGCAAGAAGGGAGCCAAGCUGACUCCUGAGGAAGAAGAGAUUUUAAACAAAAAACGAUCUAAAAAAAUUCAGAAGAAAUAUGAUGAAAGGAAAAAGAAUGCCAAAAUCA
rnacentral:sRNA from 1 species